rnacentral:rRNA from 1 species
AAUAUUGGACAAUGGGGGCAACCCUGAUCCAGCGAUGCCGCGUGUGUGAUGAGGGUUUUCGGUUUGUAAAUCACUUUAAGUUGGGAGGAAGGGCUUUAGGUUAAUACCCUGCAGUUUUGACGUUACCAACAGAAUACGCACCGGCUAUCUCUGUGCCAGCAGCCGCGGUAAUACAGAGGGUGCAAGCGUUAAUCGGAAUUAAUGGGCGUAAAGCGCGCGUAGGUGGUUCAGUAAGAUGGGUGUGAAAUCCCCGGGCUUAACCUGGGAACUGCUUUCAUAACUGCUGAGCUAGAGUACGGUAGAGGGUAGUGGAAUUUCCUGUGUAGCGGUGAAAUGCGUAGAUAUAGGAAGGAACACCAGUGGCGAAGGCGACUACCUGGACUGAUACUGACACUGAGGUGCGAAAGCGUGGGGAGCAAAC